GACGAACGCUGGCGGCGUGCUUAACACAUGCAAGUCGAACGAAGUGGCGAACGGGUGAGUAACGCGUAAUCAACCUGCCCUUCAGAGGGGGACAACAGUUGGAAACGACUGCUAAUACCGCAUACUGAAGGAGGGGAGUGCGUCUGAUUAGCUGGGUGGAGGGGUAACGGCCCACCAAGGCGAAGAUCAGUAGCCGGUCUGAGAGGAUGAACGGCCCAAGUGGGAAUGAGAAACGGCCCAGAAUCCUACGGGAGGGAGCAGGGGGGAAUCUUCCGAAAUGGACGAAAGGCUGACGGAGGAACGCCGGGUGAGUGAUGACGGCCCUCGGGUUGGAAAGCUCUGUUAAUCGGGACGCGGUACCGGAAUAGAAAGCCACGGCUAACUACGUGCCAGCAGCCGCGGUAAUAC
rnacentral:rRNA from 1 species